rnacentral:rRNA from 1 species
UGGGGAAUAUUGGGCAAUGGAGGCAACUCUGACCCAGCAACGCCGCGUGAAGGAUGAAGGUUUUCGGAUUGUAAACUUCUGUCGCGAGGGACGAAGAAUGACGGUACCUCGUAAGAAAGCCCCGGCUAACUACGUGCCAGCAGCCGCGGUAAUACGUAGGGGGCAAGCGUUGUCCGGAAUGACUGGGCGUAAAGGGAGUGUAGGCGGCAUAGCAAGUUAGAUGUGAAAGCCCGCAGCUUAACUGCGGAACUGCAUCUAAAACUGCUGAGCUUGAGUGCAGGAGAGGUAAGUGGAAUUCCUAGUGUAGCGGUGGAAUGCGUAGAUAUUAGGAGGAACAUCAGAGGCGAAGGCGACUUACUGGACUGUAACUGACGCUGAGGCUCGAAAGCGUGGGGAGCAAACAGGGAUUAGAUACCCUGGGUAGU